UACGGAGGGAGCUAGCGUUGUUCGGAAUUACUGGGCGUAAAGCGCACGUAGGCGGCUAUUCAAGUCAGGGGUGAAAGCCCGGGGCUCAACCCCGGAACUGCCUUUGAAACUAGAUAGCUAGAAUCUUGGAGAGGUCAGUGGAAUUCCGAGUGUAGAGGUGAAAUUCGUAGAUAUUCGGAAGAACACCAGUGGCGAAGGCGACUGACUGGACAAGUAUUGACGCUGAGGUGCGAAAGCGUGGGGAGCAAACAGGAUUAGAUACCCCCGUAGUCC
rnacentral:rRNA from 1 species